AGGGCCACCGGGUCCACGCCGCGGGUGACGACUAGGUAGUCGCGCAUCACGAUGGCGUGCCGGUUCUC
rnacentral:sRNA from 1 species